rnacentral:misc_RNA from 1 species
UUUCCGUAGGUGAACCUGCGGAAGGAUCAUUAUUGAAACUUCAUCCGGGGCGCCGCGGCCCUCAGCACCGGUGGGAACGCCGUGCUGCGGGGGCCGCGCGUGCACUCGUCCAAACCAAACCCCUGUGAACCUUACGGGAUGGCCCGGGUUAGCGCCCGGUGCCGUUCCGCUUUAUACAAACACUUAUCAAAGAAUGAACUGAAGGCGGUCUGACCGCUGGAUAACAAACUGAAACAACUUUCAACAACGGAUCUCUUGGCUCUC